CCUACGGGUGGCUGCAGUAGGGAAUCUUCCGCAAUGGACGAAAGUCUGACGGAGCAACGCCGCGUGAGUGAUGAAGGUUUUCGGAUCGUAAAACUCUGUUGUUAGGGAAGAACAAGUACGAGAGUAACUGCUCGUACCUUGACGGUACCUAACCAGAAAGCCACGGCUAACUACGUGCCAGCAGCCGCGGUAAUACGUAGGUGGCAAGCGUUGUCCGGAAUUAUGGGGUGUAAAGCGCGCGCAGGCGGUCCUUUAAGUCUGAUGUGAAAGCCCACGGCUCAACCGUGGAGGGUCAUUGGAAACUGGGGGACUUGAGUGCAGAAGAGAAGAGUGGAAUUCCACGUGUAGCGGUGAAAUGCGUAGAGAUGUGGAGGAACACCAGUGGCGAAGGCGACUCUUUGGUCUGUAACUGACGCUGAGGCGCGAAAGCGUGGGGAGCAAACAGGAUUAGAUACCCCGGUAGUC
rnacentral:rRNA from 1 species